AGUGAACGCUGGCGGUAGGCCUAACACAUGCAAGUCGAACGGCAGCACAGUAAGAGCUUGCUCUGACGGGUGGCGAGUGGCGGACGGGUGAGGAAUACAUCGGAAUCUACUUUUUCGUGGGGGAGAACGUAGGGAAACUUACGCUAAUACCGCAUACGACCUACGGGUGAAAGCAGGUGAUCUUCGGACCUUGCGCGAUUGAAUGAGCCGAUGUCGGAUUAGCUAGUUGGCGGGGUAAAGGCCCACCAAGGCGACGAUCGGUAGCUGGUCUGAGAGGAUGAUCGGCCACCCUGGAACUGGGACACGGACCCGACUCCUACGAGAGGCAGCAGUGGGGAAUAUUGGACAGUAGUCGCAAGUAUUGUCCAGCCGUACCGAGUGUGUGGAGGAGGCCUUCGGGUUGUAAAGACCUUUUGUUGGGAAAGAACAGCAGCAGGUUAAUAACAAGCUGUUCUGACGGUACCCAAAGAAUAAGCACCGGCUAACUUCGUG
rnacentral:rRNA from 1 species